UUAUUUAUAUUAUUAUUUUAUUUCAGGUAGUGAGUAGGGCGUUCAAAUAAAAAUUGCAUUCUGUGGCCGCCGUUGCGCUGGCAAAUGGAACGAGUAAGAUUUCCAAAUGAAAUUGAAGCCACAGCAAAUAGUGCAUAGCUCCAAGGCUUGGAAACAAAUAUAGAAGCUAUACGAUGCCAGAAAGACUACAGAGAAUCGAAGAGCGCUAACCAGGAAACAGCGUAAAAGGGCCAAUUCGUUGAGCAAGGGCGUGCUCAUAGCAUGGAAAUACAAUGCAAACGGUGCCAACAUAAAAUUAAACUGCCAAGGCAUAAGCAAGAAUUUUUACCUGAAACUGUGACGCCUGCCCACAGCAUCAAAUAAGGAUAUCGUUUCAAUGAAACCCAAUAUUAACGCACAAAAAGGAGCAGCUGCAAUAGCCUACCCACAGUCAAAUAAUAAAAGUACCAACAAAGCAAAAGCUACAAAAAAGCAAGCAAAGCCCACUGCCAAACUGUCAGCCACUAAAACAGGCAUGCCCAGCGCAGGGCACUUGCUUAUGGAGUUCUGCCUGCGUUUGGCAUGACUGCGAAAGUACAAUCAAAGACACAACAGCAAAAUUAAUUGUUAAUGCAACCAUGCAGACCCGGCUCCGGUUAUCCGGGUUCACCCAUUAAGGUAAAGUGUAAAGUACAAUUCUAUGAAGCAAUUAAAACAGCAUAGGGAUACGGUUUAGUUAUUUGUACACACAUUUUGGUUGCUGUGCCGAAACGAGUGACCCGAAUCGAAAAACGUUUACACACACUUGUACACAAGUCUACGCUUUAUU